CAGGAACUGCGUCUGACUGAGAGCUGAGCUGGAAAAAUCAUCUCUGAGGGUCCAAGGGAGAGGUGUGAAUGCACAGGAGGUCUCUGAGCUCGAUGUGAAGAACCCUGAAACCAGAUCUCAUAUCCAGUGUUCUGAGAAACGGAGAAUUGGGCAAAGUUCCUAUCCUUUGGAUCUUACACUUAAACAAUUCCCAACACAUGACCAAGGCUGGCAGAAAGGCAGCUGAUCCACAGUGGGAGCCCAGAGAGUGAAGUGAGUUUGAAGGAUGCUUAUCGAAGUGGUGGCUCAGAAGCAGACUGUUCAGUCUCCAGUGACUCAGAGGAGAAGUGCAGUGGGUCUCAUCCAGAUGAACCAGGUACCCUUCGAUCUCUGAGUCCUCCAAUGGUCUUGCAAUGACACUCUUUUUCUGCCACGAAAACGUGGGAAUCCCUGAUUGAAGGCUGAUCCCAUGAAUUGCUAAAUGGCCUCAUGCCCACUGACUCAGGAAAGUGUACGUAAACUGGUCUCUGCUGAAGGCAGUAAGAAUUAAUGUUCUGAUAUUCCUGGGGAAGGAAUUGGACCCUGACUCCAGCAAGUUGGUUCCUCUGAGCAGAUGGGUGUGUCAGCAGUGCAGCCAGAGCAGGAAUUUUGCAAGAAUCACAGCCUGAUGGUAAUUCUCUCAGUCCUGCUCAGGAGAAGACAUUUAGCAGACAGCAGAGAGGACUGAUCCAUCCUUUCUAACAAGAAGAAGGAUACAUUACUGUGGCUUACUCUGCAAACAUCUUUGCCUCAGAGGCUGUACAUUUACAGCACCAAUAGUUGAGGGAAGUGUAGGAAGGUUUCUGUCUACUUCUCAGCCCAUUUCUAAGCAAAUAAUAAUAACAUAGUAGAAUCCAGCUGACCUGAACAUAAAAUAGCAUUCAUUUAAAAUGCUGCAACAUGUUUAAAAGUCAGGAUGCAUCGAGAAAACUUCAAUAUUUUUUAAGCUUUGGUUAUACUGGGAGCUGCAGACAUAAAAUGAUUGCUACUUCUUACCUGUAGCUGAGAAAGGAAUCGUGCAUCUCUUGACAUCAGACAUUGCUUUAAUCUGCUCACAGCUUGUUUUGUUUUUCUCUGUUUCAUUUCCCUUUACUGUGUUAAGUUUUGACCCUGAAAGGUGAGGAAGUGAAGGAAAUGGAAGAGUGAAACUUGGGGAGUCUGACACUAAGAAGCCAAGGGAACCAUGAGGCAGUCUGUCUGGUUGUGAGAUGGAAAUGUAAGUCGACUCCUCAAACUAAUUACUUUGGAACCCACUUACUUGUGACUGUGGACUCCCUUAAGCAUAAGUCUUACAUUAUGUCACCGAGAUGGCAUUUGGGCUUGAUUUAUGUUGGCACAAAGCUAGCUAUAAACGGCACAUGUGUGCCUAUAGUUGCCCCUUUUCAAACAGAACAUGAUUUUAGAAACAGGAAGCAUGGCUGCAGCAGGAGCACACCAAGCGUCUGCUAUGUCAACAGCCUCACAACUGCAGGUAUCCAGGAUCUGCACGACGCAUUCAUUUUCCACCUAUUUCAACUCAGUCAGUAACUUGGAACACCAUUACCAGAGAUUAACGGUUGGUUGAUGGAGCAAAAAUGACUUAUUAGGUGAAAUGUACUCCUCUAAAGACGUGUAUCUGAACAAGAACCACAGUCCACAUCUUAAUCUUUUUCUUUCAUCCUCUAUUGAGUCUGUGGCUAGUACUUCAUGGUGAUAACCUCUCUCUCAUUUUUUUUUCUCCCUUGGAGAAUGAGGCCAAACUAUAUUAAUUAUAGCUGGUUCUGUAGUCACAUCAUUUGUCUUUAAAAAGUUAUGCUCCUUCCUGUCCAGGUAAAUACAAAUUCUUCAGGUCAUGUUCAGGGAAGUUCAAACUCUUCACUGUUUCUUAAAGCAUGUUAGAAACAAUUCAAUACAUGUAAGCAAUGUUCAAGAUUUCUUGUAUGAGAUAGAUAUGCAUAUAUAAAUAAAGAACAAAAAUUGCAGAGCAUUUUUGAUGACCAACAUAACUGUAUUUUUGUUCCUCAGAUGCAUUUAUUUGCAUAUUCAAUCUUUGUGUGAACAGUGGGGAGCUAUCAGUAGGCACAAAUACCUUUCUCCAUGGUGCUUCAUCCACUUGGAUGUGCUCUGCCUGAAGUGAAAUAAGCUUUUCUGUGCUUCAGGAACUAGGACCGAAGUCUUUUAAAUAGAAGUAUUCUACCUUGUGUGUUGGAAGCCAGCAGUAACCUGAUUGCAGCUCCUGCUCAGUGAAUGUAGACAAUUUGAGUAAGCUACAGGAGUAGUACUGUUGUGUUACUCACUGAAGAUUUACAGUCCUUUUGGAGAUGAUGUGAGAAUAUAUUUCCAUCAGGAAGAUUUUUUCCUGUGUCUUAGGAUUCCUUGCUUAUUUUCUGAUUGAAAAGUCUACUAAAUUUGUCAAAACAUUUGAACCUACAGCAUGAAAAUCAAUGCCAAGCUCCCUGCACUUAGAGUUUUGAUGCAUAGAUUGUUUCAAGCCUGAUUGCCAUUAAUGUUACCCUUGAUGUCACAGAAUUGUCACUUUGGUAGAAGCUCACUGGUCUAGAGGCAGUAACUGCAAUGCCCUUGUGAGCUUGAGUUGGAAUAUUUUUUUCCCUUUUUUGGAAGUAUUGCUUGCAGUAGAUGCUGAGUCUGAAUUAUACUCUUUUGCUGUUUAGAUUAUAAGCAUGCUGUUGUGUUUGGGACAAUAUUAUGUCAAUAACAGGUACACUUAUCAGAAAGAUUGGGAUACUGUAGGGCUGAGUAGAUAUCAUGAGGGUCGGUAUUUUACCACCCCUAGAUUAGCACCCAGCACAAGAGUAGAGGGCAGAAAAGUAUUGUCAGCACAGAAAUGCAUGAUGGGUCCCUUGGUGGGAGCUGACGAUGCCCCAGGGAAGCCAUAACACCAUCUCUGCUUCAAGAGCAGCAAGCAGAGGCAGCACUGCCUUUGGGAUCUGCAGGCAUCUCCCUGCCAGAGCAAUGCUCAUAGCAAUGCGGCCUUCAGAUAUGGGAAGAUCUACUUAGGAGAAAAAAUAUUUCUUUCCAGUAGGUAAGAAAUGCAAUUACCAAAAUUUCACUGUAUUCCAACUUUUGCCAUUAUGACAAUGCUUGAGAUAAUUUUUUCUCUUCAGAAUUUUUUGAAUCCAGCUCUUGUAUCUGUUACUGCUCAGUGCUCCUUUCGCACCGUCUCUAAAGGGCUUACACCAGUGGGCUUUACUGGAUGAUCAAGUGUUACUGCCUCUGGAGUUUGGUUUGUGCCAUCUGUAAGAAAUCUGAAAGCUGGGAGGUCUCCAGAGCUGCUAGUUAGAAGAUGCUGGAAACCAAAUUACUUUCAUCUGAAAUAAGUACAACUCAUGAUGCAUGUUGUCCUUAUGUAUUUGUGCAGUGGCAGCAUGGCAACCCUGAGCAUUAUUAAAGCCCCCAACUAGUUCUCAUAUUUUAUAAUCUUUAUGCAGACCAACUUUAAUUUUUAUAUUCUGCGUGUACUUGCAAUUAAUUUACAUGAUAAAUGUGGAGCAGUCAGAACAGGAUAUUAAAAAGGAACGUCUGGGGUGAGUGUGAGUAGGACACGGACGUAGCGGCUCAGAAGCACACGCUGUUUGCUGACGUUUGUCAGUAAGGGAAUGGCAUUAUUCCUCCUUUUACCCAAUUCCCCGCCUGGAAUCCCAGCCCAAGCAGAUGUGUUGGCAGAGGAUGAGAUCGGUCAUUGUGUCUCCUGAUGGCUUCUCCUGAUGGUUUGAGGUGAUACUAGCUGCUGCUCCCACCUCCAGCUUUGUUUGCUCCUGCCUGGCUCUGGAACACACCGCUUCAUCCCAGCCGUGCCCACAUUUGGGUAUUUGUGAAGCAGAGUCAGUGUGAACCGAGGUGGGGAGCAGCAGCUUCAUGUAACUGGACCCUGUUUCUAUGUUUCUAGCCCAUGCAAAUAAUCCAGAAGAAUAAAAACAUUUAUACUCUUUUUGCAUGUAAAGCAUGGAAGAUUAGAAAGAUGACCUGGGAUCUGUCAGCUGUGCUGGUCAGAGGGAUGCACAGGUCACUCUGGAAGGUUGCCCUGGAGCCUCUCUGACUACCGGCAGCUCCAGCCCCUGUGAAACCUCCCCCUGUGCCCCUGCACUCCCCCAGACCCUUCAAUCUUCCUUAUCUCUCCUACCCCUCAUCUGACCCCUUCAGUCCUGCUUUCAAAGAGUCUCCUCCAGAAGCUGUCAAGGGAUGCAGGAAGGCAAGCAGGGGUUAUCUCUGCUUGCAGGUUAUCUCCGGGCUUGCUCUCAAGAAAUCUGUGAGCAGUACAAGUUAUCCCCAGCUGGAGACAAGCAGGGGCUGGGCUGCUCCGUUCCAUGGGGCCAGCUGUCUUGUGGAUACGGGUGAAAGAUGAGAACUCUGAAAAUAGUGCUAGGGUCGUCCCAGAGCCAGAAGGAGGUGCCUGUGAUUGGGAAACGUGGAAGGAAAGAUAUUUUCUUCUCAUGUAUUUGGGGACUCUGAACACUUCCUGGGUAAGGAAGGGCUUCCUGGAAUUCUUCGGAGUGAUUUUAUACCCAGAAGGGAAUUAUUUGAUGCUGGUUCCAAUAUAAACAUGAGAUUCAGCUUUGCAGUGAGACAGCCCUGUGACAACCCCCUUCCAAAAUGUAAUCAGUAAAGUUUUCCCCUGAUGCAAACUCUGUGUCUGAUUCCAAGUUGGACUCCUGCUUGCUCACUCCUCGGCUGGCUUUGCUGAAACUUCACAACAUUUAGUCUUGCUUUUCCUUGCAGUGCUGAGUCACUCUCUGAUUUGAGUGAGAACCAUCAUGUUUGUUACUCUAAGGUUUGUGAGCCUCUGUCUGUAAUCCAAAUGAAAAAAAAACUGCAAUGUCAGUUUGCUCAAAAAUAGGUUUUUAAGAGUAUUGUUCUGUACAGUUCUUUUGUGUAAAACACUUGUUCAAAUGUUCUUUUCUCUGUCACUUCUGGCCACUUUAUCUGUGUCGUGGGAAUCUGGACUUUGGCAGAAUCAGACACUUGAGAAGCAUGACCAAAGGAAAACUGAGGUUUGAAUAGAUUUUUCAAGGUAAGAGGUGGCUCAUCAGAAAGGGCAACACAUCACUGUGUCUGCUAAGUUUUCUCUCUGUCCUAUAAUGAACUAUAAGAGUUUUAUGUCUCAGCUCUUUUUGACUGUUGUAUAAUGUACUUUUUGGGGUGUUUAGCAAACACUGGUCUUGAAUUGCUCUUUACAGACUUGACAUUUACCUCUGCAGUUCCUUAUUUCUGCCCCAGUUCAUUCUGGUCAGGCAGGAAGCUCAUAAAAGGUGUCUGUAACAGAUCUGUAUCCAUGGAAUUUGGAUCGCAGGGCAGAUGAAUAACACAGCUUUCUUUGAGCAGAAGAUGCUCAUGUCAAGCAGGUAUAGCUCACAUCUGCCGAAACCCCAGACACACGUGCAGACAGUGAGGGCUGGAGCUGGGGGUGCACUGGGGAGCUCUGAAUGUCAAACAUCAGUCAGUGACUUCAGCAGCAUCACUGCUCACAGGGCUGGGGCUUUGUGGGGAGCAGAAAGCAGGAGGCGGUAGUGCAUACGCAGUGCCUUGUGGGCUGUGUGUGCACCGCAAGGAUUUUGCAGGGGACUGGGGAUUGUGCAAUUAUUACCAAGGCCAUAAUUUUCAGGAUUAUACUCAUGCACACAGAGGAAAAUUUCUUUGCAGAAUUCUUUACCGAUGAUGAACCAUAAGCCAGAAAGAACACUGUUGGGUUUUCUGAUGUCAGUAUGAGCUGGUAGAGUUGGCAAUCAGAGCAAGUAUCCUUCAAUUAUAGGCUGAACAAGUUGAACGGAAGUCACUGAGGCAUAACCAGUAUGGAACCCAUAGUGCUAUUAUUGUAUUUGCCUCUUGGAAAAAAGACAUGCUUAGAAGGCCGUAAACUGUUCCCUCUCCUUCUCUCUCCUCAGCUGAAGAAUUAAUCUCUUUGUCAUAUGUGACAGCUGCACAAGUAAUAGGAACAAAACAUGUAGGUGUUGGGAAUAAAGUCAUUAAACAACAUGCUAUUUGUUAAGCACAUCAAGUUCUGGACAGAUUUGUGCUACAGCUUUUCUGUGUCAUGUGCGCAGGUGAUAAAGAGUAUUGAAGAAUUUCCAGCAAUAAGAAUUUCAUUUCUUGCCUUGAAUCAAAUUGUGAUUCAGAAUGAAAAUAUCACUGAGACACGGGCUGUAGUGAGAAUAUAUGACUGCUGUUUCCAAUCACCCUAUAAUUAGACGGGCUUUUUGUUGCUGAUGCACGAGCCCAGGCAACCUCUGCACGGCUAGGAGCAAUAACAAGAAUUAAAGUUCACUUUCAUCUGAAAAGACAAUAGUUGAUAAGCAAAUGGUUGAAAAAUGUUAUGUUCAGUGGUUCUUAGAGGUGUUCAAAUCCAGGUUGGAUGGGGCCCUGGGCAACCUGAUCUGAUGGGUGGCAACCAGCCCAUGGCAUCGGGGUUGGAAUGGGAUGAUCUUUAAGGUCCCUUCCAACCCAAGCCAUUUUUUGAUUCUAUGGCUCCUCGUUGAAAGGGCAGUAUUAUUGACACAGAAGUGUUUCGUAGUAAGAAUUCUAUUACUAUAAGCAGUAAUAUGGAAUGGAAACAGACUUGUUGAGUUUUUGCACUUUUUUUUUCUUCUAAGUAAA